ensembl:snRNA U1 U1 spliceosomal RNA
AUAAAUACCUGGAAGGGGAAAUCAUGAUCAAUAGGGUGGUUUUCUCAGGGCAAGCCUUAUUCAUUGCAGCCUAGAUAUGCUGAUACCUGUAACUUUCCUAAUUGUGAGAAAUUGGGGAGCAUAAUUUGUGGUAAUGGGGAACUUUGCUUAUACUCUCAU